AGUUUGAUCCUGGCUCACGACGAACGCUGGCGGCGUGCUUAACACAUGCAAGUCGAACGGGUCUGCCUUGUUUUUUGCGGGGUGGGUCAGUGGCGAACGGGUGAGUAACACGUGAGUAACCUGCCCCUCACUUCUGGAUAACCGCUUGAAAGGGUGGCUAAUACGGGGUGUUCUGGCUGUGCCGCAUGGUGUGGCUGGGAAAGAUUCACUUUUGUGGUGUUUUGGUGGGGGAUGGGCUCGCGGCCUAUCAGCUUGUUGGUGGGGUGAUGGCCUGCCGAGGCUUUGACGGGUAGCCGGCCUGAGAGGGUGGGCGGUCACACUGGGACUGAGAUACAGCCCAGACUCCUGCGGGAGGCAGCAGUGGGGGGUAUUGCACAACGGGCGGAAGCCUGAUGCAGCGACGUCGCGUGAGGGAUGGAGGCCUUCGGGUUGUGAACCUCUUUCACCGGUGAGGAAGGUCCUGUUCUUUGUGGUGGGGCUGACGGUAGCCGGGUUAUGAAGCGCCGGCUAACUACGUGCCAGCAGCCGCGGUAAUACGUAGGGCGCGAGCGUUGUCCGGAAUUAUUGGUCGUAAAGGGCUUGUACGCGGCUGGUCACGUCUGCCGUGAAAUCCUCUGGCUCAGCUGGGGGCG
rnacentral:rRNA from 1 species